GAUGAACGCUGGCGGCGUGCCUAACACAUGCAAGUCGAACGAACAGACGAGGAGUUUGCCCCUCUGACGUUUGGCGCACGGGGGAGUGAAACACGUGGAUAACCCCCCUAUCAGACUGGGAUAUCUUCGGGAAAGGGGAGCUAAUACCGAAGAAUUUAUUGAACAACCGGGUUCCAUAGAGGAAGACGGUUUUGCUGUCAGUUAUAGAUGGAUUCGCGCCGCAUUAGCUUGUUGGUAGGGUAACGGCUUACCAAGGCGACGAUGCGUAGCCGAGCUGAGAGGGUGAUCGGCCACACUGGAACUGAGACACGGUCCAGACUCCUACGGGAGGCAGCAGUAGGGAAUCUUGCGCAAUGGGCGAAAGCUUGACGGAGCAACGCCGCGUGAGUGAUGAAGGCCUUCGGAUCGUAAAGCUCUGUUAUUGGGGAAGAACAAAUUUGUAAUUAAAUAAGGGCGUCUUGACGGUACCUGAUCAAGAAGCCCCGGCUAACUACGUG
rnacentral:rRNA from 1 species